UGAGAUAUUCACGUCGUCGAAA
rnacentral:miRNA from 1 species